GACGAACGCUGGCGGCGUGCUUAACACAUGCAAGUCGAACGGAAAGGCCCUGCUUUUGUGGGGUGCUCGAGUGGCGAACGGGUGAGUAACACGUGAGUAACCUGCCCUUGACUUUGGGAUAACUUCAGGAAACUGGGGCUAAUACCGGAUAGGAGCUCCUGCUGCAUGGUGGGGGUUGGAAAGUUUCGGCGGUUGGGGAUGGACUCGCGGCUUAUCAGCUUGUUGGUGGGGUAGUGGCUUACCAAGGCUUUGACGGGUAGCCGGCCUGAGAGGGUGACCGGCCACAUUGGGACUGAGAUACGGGCCAGACUCCUACGGGAAGCAGCAGUGGGGAAUAUUGCACAAUGGGCGGAAGCCUGAUGCAGCAACGCCGCGUGCGGGAUGACGGCCUUCGGGUUGUAAACCGCUUUCGCCUGUGACGAAGCGUGAGUGACGGUAAUGGGUAAAGAAGCACCGGCUAACUACGUG
rnacentral:rRNA from 1 species